ensembl:lncRNA LINC02532 long intergenic non-protein coding RNA 2532
CCUAGGUCCUCUUCUCCCUGAAGGCUGUCACAGUUCCUGUGCAGAGAGAGAGGGCACUGCAGCACCCAGGCGCUGACUGCCUUUUGUCAGUCUCAUUUGCAGGCCCCCAGCUGGAGAACCCAGGAGGAAGAGGAAAAAAGUUUUUUCCUCCUCUACACUCCCCAUGCAUGACUAAAGAGUAGGAGGAGUCAGCAAGGUAUGUGACCCCAACUGCAAGCAGAAACAGCAAUGAAAGGACUGAUGAUCAAACAGGGACCAAGCUACAUUUCUGCAGCUAUGGUCAGUGUGUAUCUGGCUUGUUUGAUGCCCAGAAUGAAUUGAUUUUUGUCGAUCUUCAUCUAUACAACAAAAUUAUCUUCAGUAAUAAUCAUAAAAAUGGAAUAGAUAAUAACAAUGUCCAGGAAAAAAAGAGUCAGUAAAUUUUAAAAAUUGAACUUCAUAUAUACUGU